rnacentral:lncRNA from 1 species
GGAUUAAGAAACUCACCCAAAACUGCUCCACUACAUGGAAACUGAACAACCUGCUCCUGAAUGACUACUGGGUACAUAACGAAAUGAAGGCAGAAAUAAAUUGUGGUGCCCUGCCUUUCAAUUGUUACCAAAUGGGAGAGUUUGCUCUUUGCUGUAGUUGACUUUCCUGUAGUUUAGCAAUCAUGAUUUAAAGUUGGGGAAACUUGACAUGCUAAUAACAGUCAACCUUGGUUUUUGUGGUUUCUGAUAAUCCCAUGAGGAGUCUUCAUCACUGUGGAGAAUAGGAAAAAUUUAAAAAUGGAUAUAUGUCAACUAUCAGAUGUGAUGCUAUCAGUUUUUCCUACCUACCUUAGUGAUGCUAUCAUGGUUAAAUAAAACAUUAUAUGUGAAAGUCCUUUAAAAGUACUAUAGAACAAAUGGUGUU